UACGUAGGGGGCUAGCGUUAUCCGGAAUUACUGGGCGUAAAGCGCACGUAGGCGGAUUUGUAAGUCAGGGGUGAAAUCCCGGGGCUCAACCUCGGAACUGCCUUUGAUACUGGGGAUCUUGAGUCCGGGAGAGGUGAGUGGAACUGCGAGUGUAGAGGUGAAAUUCGUAGAUAUUCGCAAGAACACCAGUGGCGAAGGCGGCUCACUGGCCCGGUACUGACGCUGAGGUGCGAAAGCGUGGGGAGCAAACAGG
rnacentral:rRNA from 1 species